CCUACGGGAGGCUGCAGUGAGGAAUAUUGGUCAAUGGACGAGAGUCUGAACCAGCCAAGUAGCGUGAAGGAUGACUGCCCUAUGGGUUGUAAACUUCUUUUAUAAAGGAAUAAAACGAGGCACGUGUGCCUUUUUGCAUGUACUUUAUGAAUAAGGAUCGGCUAACUCCGUGCCAGCAGCCGCGGUAAUACGGAGGAUCCGAGCGUUAUCCGGAUUUAUUGGGUUUAAAGGGAGCGUAGAUGGGUUGUUAAGUCAGUUGUGAAAGUUUGGGGCUCAACCGUAAAAUUGCAAUUGAUACUGGCAGACUUGAGUACAGUUGAGGUAGGCGGAAUUCGUGGUGGAGCGGUGAAAUGCUUAGAUAUCACGAAGAACCCCGAUUGCGAAGGCGGCUUACUAGACUGUGACUGACAUUGAUGCUCGAAAGUGUGGGUAUCAAACAGGAUUAGAUACCCGGGUAGUC
rnacentral:rRNA from 1 species